rnacentral:lncRNA from 1 species
GUGGCUAGCAUGGAUCUCCAGGAGGGCCUCGGGUUCUCCAUGCACAACACUGACUUGUUCUCUGAAGGUCUCACAUUCGUGGUCUUUUCUCCUUGACUCUGCACAGUGGCUAGAAGACUCUGAAGAAUACCCAACACAGACUAAGGGGCUCAGUUAAAUAAAACAAGUUUAUCAACAAGAUGAUGACAAGGGACAGCAUCUGCUGUGAGCUCAUUAGGAUCAGAGUUGGACAUGGGAGACCUGUUGGACACUGUGGGAACAGGGCCUAGCACUGUCAAGUGCAAAGCCAUCUUGUCAAGUUGGAUGGAAUAGCUAGACAGUGAUACAGCGAGGCCAACACAGGGGAGUAUGGAUGUCAAUUCUGGAGCAAACAGCAUGACACAUGUGAGUGUUGGUGAUGUGCUUGUUGACUAAGUGGAACGAACACAGAGCCAGAUGCUCCUUGUGGAUCCUCAAGUGGCCAGCAUUUGGAUGAUUGGACAGACACUCAACAGUGUGAUGGACAGAGAGAACUAGAAGCCCGAGGAAAGGGUUUGAAUUA